rnacentral:rRNA from 1 species
AACCGCCAAGCGUUAUAUUUUUUCUGUUACAUUUUGUUUUAUUAAUAUAUAUAUAUGCGUUCUUAUUAUAAAAAUGAUUCUUUUUAAAAUUUUUU